UUUCUGUACCAUCGGGGGUACAUUAAUGCUGUUUGUACCUUUCUGGACCAUAAAAGGGUACAGCCCCAGUGACAAGCAAAGGUACAAAUUAUUACCCCUUUUUGUGGUAGUGUAACGGUACAUCAGUACUCUUGAAUGUUUUACCUAAUUCCCUCACUGCAGCUUUGCCAAGCACCAAUCUGUGACGUAUUUCUUGACAGUUAGAUCCUCGUGGUUGACGUCGUGGUUCCCAAAAGACUAAAUCUGUCUAUAAAAGGUCCCGGGUAGGUGACGUAGCCUGCAAGGCGAGACUAUACCAGAGCAACGGCAUUCCAUGUUCCUCCACAAGGGGGCGCUACAGAGGGCAGCAAAUAGGGCUGGAUGAUAUCUGCGUGCAGGAAUUGGCCCCGUCAUCAACCAUCACAAACAAAAACACAGGUUUUAUGUUCCCAGUGCACAGUACAGACCCCAUACAUGAAGAUGGUGGUAUGGUACCAUCCCCAUACAUGAAGAUGGCGGUCUGGUGCCAUCCCCGUACAUGAAGAUGGCGGUCAGGUGCCAUCCCCGUACAUGAAGAUGGCGGUCUGGUGUCAUCCCCGUACAUGAAGAUGGCGGUCUGGUGCCAUCCCCGUACAUGAAGAUGCCGGUCUGGUGCCAUACCCGUACAUGAAGAUGGCGGUCAGGUGCCAUCCCCGAACAUGAAGACGGCGGUCUGGUGCCAUCCCCGUACAUGAAGACGGCGGUCUGGUGCCAUCCCUGUACAUGAAGAUGGUGGUCUGCUGCCAUACCCGUACAUAAAGAUGGCAGGCUGCUGCCAUACCCGUACAUGAAGACGGCAGUCUGCUGCCAUACCCGUACAUGAAGACGGCGGUCUGGUGCCAUCCCUGUACAUGAAGAUGGUGGUCUGCUGCCAUACCCGUACAUGAAGAUGGCGGUCUGGUGCCAUCCCUGUACAUGAAGAUGGUGGUCUGCUGCCAUACCCGUACAUAAAGAUGGCAGGCUGGUGCCAUACCCGUACAUGAAGAUGGCGGUCUGGUGUCAUCCCUUGUAUUCCUGAAUUAUUUUUUACAUAUUUAUGUUGCUUCUGGCUGUUUUUCCGUGGGGUACAAACUAGCAGAUAUAGCUGAGCUUUACAUUCACAACAUCGCAGAUCGUUUCCAUGUAUCUGAGCAUGAGGGAAAUCAUGGAAAGUAUAGUAGGCACCAAGAGUCUGUCUAAGGAGCGGAUAAUUUACUUCCUUACUGCGUCCAAUCUGCAAAGAAGGAAGCUUAAUUUAAUCGACCGUUGUAGGAGUUUACUAUAGUAUUAAUGUAGUUGUAGUUUGAUUAAGGCCUUCCUUUUCUUGUUAUUUCAAAUUUCUUGAUUAUUUUCUGCCAUGGCACAUCAUUGCCAAAAUGGAGAUAAGACCAGAGGCAGCUGGGACCUCCUGGUUGGGGGCCGGGGGUUAAUGAUCUUUGCACGAGCCAAUACGUGCAGUUAAUCGGGCCUCUCCUAGUCUCUGGCACCUUCAGCCGGCAUGACAGCUUCCCUAAACCCCCACCGGACUCCGCACCAUCAUAUCAUAUUGCGAUAUUUUUGAUAUUUUCCUUUGAUUUCGUAUGUGACUGUUUUAUUAUUCAUUUUAAAUGAAUAUAAUGUUCCAGAAAUGUGAAAACGCCAAACAAUACUCCUUUUAUCAACAUAAACUAUUAUGACUUUUGGAUGGAAUUCAUUUCUUGAUAAACACAUUCCUGGGGGUUACAAUAAUAAUCACAUUCUAUAUAUGUCACGUCUCUAUGGUGACUGCUGUCAUUUUGGAAUAUUAAUACAACCCCCAAUACUCUAAAGCAAAACAUCUUUUUUUGUUCUUUUAUGUGCAGUGAAAAAAGGAUUAUCCAUUAUCUCGUGUCUUUAAGUGAAUGAAGAGAAACCUUCACUUGGUACAGUAUUUACACGCUCUUAUACGGCGUGAGUGUAAUUAAGGCGUUAUUCACCGGAAUUAUAUUAUUAUGCAUUAUCGCGCAACGUAGCCGCAUACAUAUUUUAAAGAAUUAUUUGCUUAAAAUGGAAAGAAGCUGGGUUUUAUUCUAGUAUACCUACAGUGUAUUAUGCUAUGUAGAGUAUUAUCUGAUGCGGCCGCACUGAUAUUGCCACGACAUAUUAAGAUAAUUCAGUAGCACUUAGUCAGAAAGGACAUGCAGUUCGAUUUUGUGCGCUACUCUUGGCUUCCAUGUCUGUCCUGCUUUCAUUUCCCGGUUACCAAUUUUAAUCGUUGUUUCAAAGCGCUUGUCGUUGCUCACAAACUUCAUUCAAUGAGCGUUUGGAUGUGUCUGGUCACUCCCCUGUUACUGACUUAGGACAAAUUUGUAUAUAAAAUGUCAUUGUACGCUUCAGUGGUCGUUCAAAUAGGCGGUCUUUGAGGUGCUUAGAAAUAACUAGAAUUAAAUAGGAACUUUUU